AUUGAACGCUGGCGGCAUGCUUUACACAUGCAAGUCGAACGGCAGCGCGGGCUUCGGCCUGGCGGCGAGUGGCGAACGGGUGAGUAAUGCAUCGGAACGUGCCCAGUAGUGGGGGAUAGCCCGGCGAAAGCCGGAUUAAUACCGCAUACGACCUGAGGGUGAAAGCGGGGGACCGAAAGGCCUCGCGCGAUUGGAGCGGCCGAUGUCGGAUUAGCUAGUUGGUGGGGUAAAGGCUUACCAAGGCGACGAUCCGUAGCUGGUCUGAGAGGACGACCAGCCACACUGGGACUGAGACACGGCCCAGACUCCUACGGGAGGCAGCAGUGGGGAAUUUUGGACAAUGGGGGCAACCCUGAUCCAGCCAUGCCGCGUGCGGGAAGAAGGCCUUCGGGUUGUAAACCGCUUUUGUUCGGGAAGAAAUACUCUGGGCUAAUACCCCGGGGGGAUGACGGUACCGGAAGAAUAAGCACCGGCUAACUACGUG
rnacentral:rRNA from 1 species